AUUGAACGCUGGCGGCAGGCCUCACACAUGCACGUCGAACGAGUGGCGGACGGGUGAGUAAUGUCUGGGAAACUGCCUGCUGGAGGGGGAUAACUACUGGAAACGGUAGCUAAUACCGCAUACCAUCGGAUGUUCCCAGAUGGGCUUAGCUAGUAGGUGGGGUAAAGGCUCACCAAGGCGCCGAUCCCUAGCUGGUCUGAGAGGAUGACCAGCGACACUGGAACGGAGACACGGUCCAGACUCCUACGGGAGGCAGCAGUGGGGAAGAUGGCACAAUGGGCGCAAGCCUGAUGCAGCCAUGCCGCGUGUAUGAAGAAGGCCUUCGGGUUGUAAAGUACUUUCAGCGGGGAGGCGUUACCCGCAGAAGAAGCACCGGCUAACUCCGUGCCAGCAGCCGCGGUAAUUC
rnacentral:rRNA from 1 species